GAUGAACGCUGGCGGCGUGCCUAAUACAUGCAAGUCGAGCGAACAGACGAGGAGCUUGCUCCUCUGACGUUAGCGGCGGACGGGUGAGUAACACGUGGAUAACCUACCUAUAAGACUGGGAUAACUUCGGGAAACCGGAGCUAAUACCGGAUAAUAUAUUGAACCGCAUGGUUCAAGAGUGAAAGACGGUUUUGCUGUCACUUAUAGAUGGAUCCGCGCCGCAUUAGCUAGUUGGUAAGGUAACGGCUUACCAAGGCAACGAUGCGUAGCCGAGCUGAGAGGGUGAUCGGCCACACUGGAACUGAGACACGGUCCAGACUCCUACGGGCGGCAGCGGUAGGGAAGCUUCCGCGAUGGGCGAAAGCCUGACGGAGCAACGCCGCGUGGGUGAUGAAGGUCUUCGGGUCGUAAAACUCUGUUAUUAGGGAAGAACGAAUGUGUACGUAACUAUGCACGUCUUGACGGUACCUAAUCAGAAAGCCACGGCUAACUACGUG
rnacentral:rRNA from 1 species